rnacentral:rRNA from 1 species
UACGGGGGGGCAAGCGUUGUUCGGAAUUACUGGGCGUAAAGGGCUCGUAGGCGGCCAACUAAGUCAGACGUGAAAUCCCUCGGCUUAACCGGGGAACUGCGUCUGAUACUGGAUGGCUUGAGUUUGGGAGAGGGAUGCGGAAUUCCAGGUGUAGCGGUGAAAUGCGUAGAUAUCUGGAGGAACACCGGUGGCGAAGGCGGCAUCCUGGACCGUAC